rnacentral:rRNA from 1 species
GUUGAACGCUGGCGGCAGGCCUAACACAUGCAAGUCGAGCGCAGCGGCGGACGGGUGAGGAAUGCCUAGGAAUCUGCCGGGUAGUGGGGGAUAGAGUCCGGAAACGGGCGCUAAUACCGCAUACUAUCAGAUGAGCCUAGGUCGGAUUAGCUAGUUGGUGGGGUAAAGGCCUACCAAGGCGUCGAUCCGUAACUGGGCUGCGCGGAUGCUCAGUCACACGGGAACGGGGACACGGUCCAGACUCUUACGCGAGGCAGCAUUGGGGAAUAUUGGACAAUGGGCGAAAGCCUGACCGAGCCAUGCCGCGUGUGUGAAGAAGGUCUUCGGAUUGUAAAGCCCUUUAAGUUGGGAGGCGUUACCAACAGAAUAAGCACCGGCUAACUCCGUGCCAGCAGCUGCGGUAAUAC